CUACAAUCGCGCUAUUCAUAUAAUUAUUCGAUUUCAUUUGUUCAGCAUAUGUCUCA
rnacentral:sRNA from 1 species